rnacentral:rRNA from 1 species
CAGUUCGGAUUGUAGUCUGCAACUCGACUACAUGAAGCUGGAAUCGCUAGUAAUCGCGAAUCAGCAUGUCGCGGUGAAUACGUUCCCGGGUCUUGUACACACCGCCCGUCACACCAUGGGAGUUGGUAACGCCCGAAGCCAGUGAGCCAACAAACGAGGCAGCAGUCGAAGGUAGAAUCAAUGAUUGGGGUGAAGUCGUAACAAGGUACC